rnacentral:rRNA from 1 species
GGAAACCCAGUGUGACUCGUCACACUAUCAUUAACUGAAUCCAUAGGUUAAUGAGGCGAACCGGGGGAACUGAAACAUCUAAGUACCCCGAGGAAAAGAAAUCAACCGAGAUUCCCCCAGUAGCGGCGAGCGAACGGGGAGGAGCCCAGAGCCUGAAUCAGCAUGUGUGUUAGUGGAAGCGUCUGGAAAGGCGCGCGAUACAGGGUGACAGCCCCGUACACAAAAGCGCAUGUGCUGUGAGCUCGAUGAGUAGGGCGGGACACGUGGUAUCCUGUCUGAAUAUGGGGGGACCAUCCUCCAAGGCUAAAUACUCCUGACUGACCGAUAGUGAACCAGUACCGUGAGGGAAAGGCGAAAAGAACCCCGGCGAGGGGAGUGAAAAAGAACCUGAAACCGUGU